AACGAACGCUGGCGGCAGGCCUAACACAUGCAAGUCGAGCGAGGACUUCGGUUCUAGCGGCGGACGGGUGAGUAACGCGUGGGAAUGUGCCCUUCUCUACGGAAUAGCCCUGGGAAACUGGGAGUAAUACCGUAUACGCCCUAUUGGGGAAAGAUUUAUCGGAGAAGGAUCAGCCCGCGUUGGAUUAGGUAGUUGGUGGGGUAAUGGCCUACCAAGCCGACGAUCCAUAGCUGGUUUGAGAGGAUGAUCAGCCACACUGGGACUGGGACACGGCCCAGACUCCUACGGGAGGCAGCAGUGGGGAAUCUUAGACAAUGGGGGCAACCCUGAUCUAGCCAUGCCGCGUGAGUGAUGAAGGCCUUAGGGUUGUAAAGCUCUUUCAGCUGGGAAGAUAAUGACGGUACCAGCAGAAGAAGCCCCGGCUAACUCCGUG
rnacentral:rRNA from 1 species